rnacentral:misc_RNA from 1 species
CCGAGUUAUACAACUCAUCAACCCUGUGAACAUACCUAACUUGUUGCCUCGGCGGAAUCAGCCCGGCCCUGUAAAACGGGACGCCCCGCCAGAGGACCCCUAACUCUGUUUCUAUAAUGUACUUCUGAGUGAACAAGCAUAAUAAAUCA